rnacentral:rRNA from 1 species
AUUGAACGCUGGCGGCAGGCCUAACACAUGCAAGUCGAGCGGAUGAGAAGAGCUUGCUCUUCGAUUCAGCGGCGGACGGGUGAGUAAUGCCUAGGAAUCUGCCUGGUAGUGGGGGACAACGUUUCGAAAGGAACGCUAAUACCGCAUACGUCCUACGGGAGAAAGCAGGGGACCUUCGGGCCUUGCGCUAUCAGAUGAGCCUAGGUCGGAUUAGCUAGUUGGUGAGGUAAUGGCUCACCAAGGCGACGAUCCGUAACUGGUCUGAGAGGAUGAUCAGUCACACUGGAACUGAGACACGGCCCAGACUCCUACGGGAGGCAGCAGUGGGGAAUAUUGGACAAUGGGCGAAAGCCUGAUCCAGCAAUGCCGCGUGUGUGAAGAAGGUCUUCGGAUUGUAAAGCACUUUUAGUUGGGAGGAAAGGCAGUAAUUUAAUACCUUGCUGUUUUGACGUUACCGACAGAAUAAGCACCGGCUAACUCUGUGCCAGCAGCCGCAGUAAAAC